AGUGGCGGACGGGUGAGUAACGCGUGGGUAACCUGCCUCACACAGGGGGAUAACAGUUGGAAACGACCGCUAAUACCGCAUAAGCCGGAAGGAUCGCAUGAUUCGGCCGGAAAAGAUUUAUCGGUGUGAGAUGGACCCGCGUCUGAUUAGCCAGUUGGCAGGGUAACGGCCUACCAAAGCGACGAUCAGUAGCCGGCCUGAGAGGGUGAACGGCCACAUUGGGACUGAGACACGGCCCAAACUCCUACGGGAGGCAGCAG
rnacentral:rRNA from 1 species